UACGUAGGGUGCAAGCGUUGUCCGGAAUUAUUGGGCGUAAAGAGCUCGUAGGCGGUUUGUCGCGUCGAAUGUGAAAACCCGGGGCUCAACUCCGGGCCUGCAUUCGAUACGGGCAGACUAGAGUUCGGUAGGGGAGACUGGAAUUCCUGGUGUAGCGGUGAAAUGCGCAGAUAUCAGGAGGAACACCAGUGGCGAAGGCGGCUCACUGGUCCGGUACUGACGCUGAGGUGCGAAAGCGUGGGGAGCAAACAGG
rnacentral:rRNA from 1 species